UACGUAGGGGGCAAGCGUUGUCCGGAAUUAUUGGGCGUAAAGAGCGUGUAGGCGGUCCGGUAAGUCAGCUGUGAAAGUCAAGGGCUCAACCCUUGAAUGCCGGUUGAUACUGUCGGGCUAGAGUCCGGAAGAGGCGAGUGGAAUUCCCGGUGUAGCGGUGAAAUGCGCAGAUAUCAGGAGGAACACCGGUGGCGAAGGCGGUUCUCUGGGCCUUACCUGACACUGAGGAGCGAAAGCGUGGGGAGCGAACAGG
rnacentral:rRNA from 1 species